AUGCGUCAAGUACAAGAGCUUCUCGACAAAGGUUAUAUACGCGAAUCCCUUAGUCCUUGUGCUGUUCCUAUUAUUCUACUGCCGAAAAAGGAUGGUACAUCACGUAUGUGUGUUGAUUGUAGAGGCAUUAAUAAUAUUACUAUUCGUUAUCGUCAUCCUAUUCCUAGGCUAGAUGAUAUGCUUGAUGAAUUGAGUGGCUCUACAAUAUUCUCCAAAGUUGAUUUGCGUAGUGGCUACCAUCAAAUUCGUAUGAAAUUGGGAGAUGAAUGGAAAACAACAUUUAAAACUAAGUUUGGAUUAUAUGAGUGGUUAGUCAUGCCUUUUGGGUUAACUAAUGCGCCUAGUACUUUCAUGAGACUAAUGAACGAAGUUUUACGUGCUUUCAUUGGACGAUUUCUGGUAGUGUAUUUUGAUGAUAUACUGAUUUAUAGCAGAUCUUUGGAAGAACAUUUGGAACAUUUACGUGCUGUUUUUAUUGCUCUACGUGAUGCACGUUUGUUUGGUAACCUUGGGAAGUGCACCUUUUGCACCGACCGAGUAUCUUUUCUUGGCUAUGUUGUUACUCCACAGGGAAUUGAAGUUGACAAAGCCAAGAUUGAAGCUAUUGAGAGUUGGCCGCAGCCCAAAACGGUCACACAAGUGAGGAGUUUUCUUGGCCUCGCUGGAUUCUGUAGGCGUUUUGUGAGAGAUUUCAGCACCAUUGCUGCACCUCUCAACGAGCUUACAAAGAAGGAUGUGCCUUUUGUUUGGGGUACCGCACAGGAAGAAGCCUUCACGGUAUUGAAAGAUAAGUUGACACAUGCUCCUUUACUCCAACUUCCUGAUUUUAAUAAGACUUUUGAGCUUGAAUGUGAUGCUAGUGGAAUUGGAUUAGGAGGUGUGUUAUUACAAGAUGGCAAACCUGUUGCAUACUUUUCUGAAAAAUUGAGUGGGCCUAGUCUGAAUUAUUCUACUUAUGAUAAAGAAUUAUAUGCUCUUGUUCGGACUUUAGAAACAUGGCAACAUUAUUUAUGGCCCAAAGAAUUUGUUAUACAUUCUGAUCAUGAAUCUUUGAAACAUAUUAAAAGUCAAGCUAAACUGAAUCGUAGACAUGCUAAAUGGGUUGAAUUCAUUGAGACUUGCCCUUAUGUCAUUAAACACAAGAAGGGAAAAGAAAAUGUUAUUGUUGAUGUAUUGUCUCGUCGCUAUACUAUGCUUUCACAACUUGACUUCAAAAUAUUUUGUUUGGAGACCAUCAAAGAUCAAUAUGUGCAUGAUGCUGAUUUUAAAGAUGUAAUGCAGAAUUGUAAAGAAGGAAGAAUGUGGAACAAGUUUGUCGUUAAUGAUGGAUUUGUGUUUCGUGCUAACAAGCUAUGCAUUCCAGCUAGCUCCGUUCGUCUUUUGUUGUUGCAGGAGGCGCAUGGAGGAGGAUUAAUGGGACACUUUGGCGUGAAGAAGACGGAGGACGUACUUGCUACACAUUUCUUUUGGCCAAAGAUGAGACGGGAUGUUGAGCGUUUUAUUGCUCGAUGCACUACAUGUCAAAAAGCUAAGUCACGACUUAAUCCUCAUGGUUUAUAUAUGCCUUUGCCUGUACCUAGUGUUCCUUGGGAGGAUAUAUCUAUGGACUUUGUUUUAGGUUUACCUCGAACAAAGAAGGGGAGGGAUAGCAUAUUUGUUGUCGUGGAUAGAUUCUCGAAAAUGGCACACUUUAUACCAUGUCAUAAAAGCGAUGAUGCUGUUAAUGUUGCUGAUUUGUUCUUUCGUGAAAUUAAUCGUGAUACUAAAUUUCUUAGCCACUUUUGGAGAUGUUUAUGGGCUAAGUUGGGGACUAAACUGCUUUUUAGUACUACUUGUCACCCCCAAACUGAUGUACAAACUGAAGUAGUCAAUAGAACGUUGUCUACUAUGCUUAGGGCUGUUUUGAAGAAUAAUAAGAAAAUGUGGGAGGAAUGCUUGCCUCAUAUUGAAUUUGCUUAUAAUCGUUCAUUGCAUUCUACUACUAAGAUGUGCCCUUUUGAAGUUGUGUAUGGUUUCCUACCUCGUGCACCUAUUGAUUUGUUGCCUCUUCCAUCUUCGGAGAAGGUUAAUUUUGAUGCUAAACAACGUGCUGAAUUGAUUUUAAAAAUGCAUGAGUUAACUAAGGAAAACAUUGAGCAUAUGAAUGCUAAAUAUAAACUUGCUGGAGAUAAGGGUAGAAAACAUGUUGUGUUUGCACCUGGAGAUCUUGUUUGGUUACAUUUGCGUAAGGAUAGAUUUCCUGAUUUGCGCAAAUCAAAGCUAAUGACACGUGCUGACGGUCCCUUUAAGGUGUUAGAGAAAAUAAAUGAUAAUGCAUAUAAACUUGAGCUGCCUGCAGAUUUUGGGGUUAGUCCCACUUUUAACAUUGCAGAUUUGAAGCCUUAUUUGGGUGAGGAAGAUGAACUUCCGUCGAGGACGACUUCAUUUCAAGAAGGGGAGGAUGAUGAGGACAUCAAUACAAUUGUUACACCCACAGCCCCUGCUGCUAUACAUACUGGACCAAUUACUAGAGCUCGUGCACGCCAACUAAAUUACCAGGUGCUCCGGCGUGGUCAAUAA
rnacentral:rRNA from 1 species